rnacentral:misc_RNA from 1 species
AUGAUAUGGGAAAUCAGAACUAUCGUAACUGAAACAAAUAUGCAAUCAAUUAGACUAUUUUAAUAUGAUAUCUACAUGAGUUUUUGCAGCUAACAAAUACUAGAUUUCAAUUGAAAGUAAAUCUGAACUAUCAAUGUUAAAGUAAGUGUUAAACACUAAGACUACUCACUUGGUUAUGAAAUAUUGUGUUCCCGUCAUGCCCUCGCAAACGUUUAUCAAUCAGCUGCUAUUCCAUGCCUUGAAGCUCUCUCAACAAACCAAACAAAUCUUAAUUACUUGAGCUAAAAAGCAGUACAUCAACCUCUUCGAACAUGGAAGACAAAAAAUGUCACCAGACCUUGUCGAAAGACUAUCCAAAGCCUCUCUGGACAUGCUUCCAUGGAUGGGUUUAUCAGCCAUUUGUGUACCUGAACAUCUUGAAAACCAAGCAAUGAAGCGGAGCAUUCUUCAUGAAAUGGAAAGUCAAUAAAGAAACGACAGCCCCAAUGAAACUCUUUAUUUCUCAGUUUCAAAUGAAUCAACCCAGUGUCACUUUUAAAUUUCUACCAUGAAUUUCAACAAUAUUAGAAGAUUUACAAAUAACUCUAGCCUCUACAGUUUCUUGUUUCACCAAUUAAAUGAAGGCCUACAGAUCAAAUCAACACUUGAUUUCCUCCCUCCCCUUAUACUUCAGUUCAUAAAUAAAUUGGAUUCAACUCAAUGGAAUCAACAAGGGCUCCAUCAAUUGAUGACUUCAAGAUGGGGGUUGAUCAGCUAUCCCUUACACAUUCACACCCUGAUGGCGCCAGUUCAGUUUAUCACAUCCACAUCACAUUGUGGGAAGAGCUUUUGCAUUUGAUCAGAUGAAGUUACAACAGCAUCUUGUCCCGAAUCAAUUGUGCUCUCUUUAAGCAUAUGAUUUCCAUUACAUGAUAUAAGUUCUGGAUUCAAUUUCUUGUUAGAAAUUUGAGAUGCACCAGUAUCCUCCUUCACAUAAUCGAGUAACUGCCCUUUGCCCACUUCAAACCUAGAUCCAGGCGCAAAACUCUGAUCUGAAUCCAGUGUAGUAACUAACUGCUCCUCCUUUUGAACAGACUCAUCAACAAGAAGUGAACAUUGAUCGUCAUUUGCAAGCGACUCUCGCAAUGAAUUUAUCUCACUUAGAUGCAGGACAGUGGUUGCUUCCUCAGAAACUUCAAUCUGAACAUCAUUUUGCACUAUCUCACUUUGAUGCGGGCCAUUAUUUGUUGCUCCCUCUGAAAGUUCAUUCCGAGCAUCAUUUUGCACUCCCUUACUUUGUGAGACAGCAUUGAUUGCUUCCUCAGAGAGUUCAUUCUGAAUAUCAUGUCUUCUUGUGGUUGGUAAUAGCGGGCAAACAGGAGGGGUACUAUUUCGGCACAUGUGGCACCUAAAUCCAAUAAGCUUAUGGCUGUUCUCCACAUCAAGUCCAAAAGCAUCUCCGUGAAACCACUCACCACACCUCUCGCAAGAAAUAUAAUUCAAGGUAGAUGUGUAUACAACUUCACAGCAAAGAUGGCAUUUGGGUUGAUGAAGUAUGUCGUUGUUGGAAGGGGCAAUAAAAUUUUUACUCUUAAAAUGCACCGCACGUUCAUCAUCUGGCUUUCUAGACAACAGAAGACCAUUAAUCCAGUAACUAUGACAAGUCUGUGUCCUCUUCUUGCGCCAUGAAGCAACACUUGUUGGUUUCUUAUAUGUUGCUUUUUUGGAUUUGACCUGUUUAUCUUUCUUGCAUCCUCCAACUUUCUUAUUAUGCAAAGAGUUGUUGUAUUUAGCUUUCCUAGGAGAACGACGAAGAGGUACAACAACAGCAACUUUCUUUUUUUUUCGUGAUCGUAGCGACCACGGGCCUUUCACAGCUUUUUUACCGUUUUUAAGUCGCGCUGACCUGCAAGCCACAGAGGCAUUUUUUGACUUUUGAUGCUGAACUUUCAUAUUUUUCUUGUUAUUUUUCCCUCUUUUUACACCACUCUUCCCCGUUUUUGAGUCAAUUUUCACAUAUUUCCCAUCAAGGCAUCGGUGGCAUGUAUAUGUACAUUCAGCAGUGAUGGAACCAGCUGACUUCCUCACAUGCCUUUUAUGGAAAAAUCCCUUGCAAUACUGACAGCACACAGCCUCCCUGCCAAGUGUUUAAACAUCAUUAACAAAAAAAUGAAGUUAAUACUUAGAAAUUAUAAAAACAAACUGAAUUCAAUGUAACAGCAUAAUAUUAUAGAACUUGGGAAAAUAGAAUACUAAUAAAAUUAAUUUUUUAAUUAGGAGUCGAAAGAGCAUAAAGCUUAGAUACUCCAUAGAGAGUUGCAGAUAUUAUCAAGAGCUAAGAUAUUUCUACAACAUAAUCAUGCACCUUGGGUCCAAAAACAUGGUUACAACAAAAUACUUAUAUAGGAUGCGAAUUAUUAUGUAAAGCAAGACCAUUAAGAGUCGCAAACACUAUGAAUACAUUAAUACAUUUGUAUAUGUACAUGUACAUGAGCAUGUGCAUACAGAUGCACAAGUAAGAAAUAUAAUAGGAAUUAAUCACUUUAAAAGUUGAUAACUUCAAGAUUAAAUCCACAAAAUAGCUAAAAUAACUAAAAUUAGAGGUUCAAAUGGAGCAAUAUUAAUAAUAUUUUUAACAAGACAAGUUGACAGUUAGUCACUUGCAAAUGGUGAACAGCCAAAAUAUCUCCAAUGAAAUUAUGAAACAAACCCCUAUUUCACACCUAAACAAGCUAAUUCCAACUUAUUGAUAUCACAACAACACAUUACCAGCCAACAGAUGUCAAUGCAGCACAAAUGUAAAAACAAAUAAGUAAAUAAAAUAAUAAUGAUGAUGAUGACGAUGAUUCAUCAAAAUCUAAUACACCUUCACAAAUAGGUGCAUGUAGGUAUUAAUGUGAUUAAUUUGAUCAAGUGUAAAUGUGUAACGCAAGAAGGAAUAAUAUAUAAGAUACCUGAUUGGAACAUCUUUGUUACAGUGACCACACUGAUGGUACUCGGAUCUUUCAGCUUUUGCAAAAAGAUAUGAGAAAUCUCUUUUCUUUGAGGGCUUCUUCACUACUACAGCAGCAUCAGAAGGUUUCCCAGGACUCAUCUUACUAGAUCUGCGGGCAAUUCUUUUCUCUUCAAAACUUUUCAAGAGAUACAAUGGUACAUAUGAUUCAUUCAACCAAUAUUUCUUCCUCUCACUGGAGGAUUCUUCAACCACAGAUCCAUUCUUUAAAACGAUUUCAGGAAUAAUUUUCCUCUUGCCAAAAUCAAGAAGAUACUUUGCCCCAUCUCCUUCCAUGCACUUCCUACGGACAAUUACUUUCUUGAAUAGCCGGAUUGAUUUUUUAAAUUCCUUGUCCACCAUUGACAGCAGAUUUGUGUUUCCAAUAUCGUCCCACCUGAUGUUAGAAUCAAGCUCUCUAACCUGCAAAGCAAGCUGUUCUACAGUAGUUGAUGACUCCACUGCAGCUCGCCAAGAGACAUAUUUGCUCCUCUUUGCAAAAUCUGAAUUCUCAGGAUAUAACACACCUGGUAUCUUCACACAUCCAGCUGCAGAAUUUCAAACUUCAAACAAAUUCAGAAUAAUUACUAAGUUGACUAAAACACAUGCACUACCAAUCACAAUCCAUAUAGAAGAAAGAUUGGAGACCUUGUCUGGCAGCCUUGGACACUAAGGAGCGAGGUAAAACCUUCCAACUGAAUAACCGGCGAGAAAGCUUACCACCCCUCCACCAUAACAUACCUAAUCCACUGGCAGAUUUUGAAGAAGGAUUAGAAUCAAAUUCUGAGUACCUAACCCUCUUCCUGCCAAUUCCAUUCUUUGAAGAAGCACGCGUUGAAGCUGUGACAAUAUGAGAAGCUGAACCCAUAGUGGUGGCAGAAUCCACAUGUUUCAACCACUCCCCUGUAAGUGCCAGCUGAUGCACAUUUGACUCUAA